GAAUAUGCUGUGUUCUGGGAAUAUUUAGUGUUGUGUGUAGUAACGAACAUUGGAUUACGACUCCACACGGAAGAUGCAGUAUUAUUAAAGUGAAGCAGGAUGGCUUUCUGACGCUGAGGUGAUACAGUGUUCAUAGUCUUCGUCCUACACGUCUGCCUACUCGUGGUCCACUAAGAAAGGCAAAGACUGUGAUGGUAUUGGCAACACAACAGCCAACGUCCACAACGUGAGCCCAGUCACUCAGUCUACAGCUAGCACCUGGUGGAGUAGGAGGUGGUGAGCGUAUUUUCAAGAUAUUUCGUCCAGGUGGGCGUUCUGAAGCACGUAAUUAAGGUCUCUUCUGCGAUCUGUGGUGUUCCACAAGUGACGGCUAGAAGGGCUGCUCUACAAGCAACCACCCUCUUCCUCCCAUUUUUGCUGAUUGGCUCUCCUGGUGUGGGUUGUCACCACAUUGGGUAAGUUGGUCAGCUACUCACCACUAUCCUUGAGAAGAAUCUGUUUGUUUAAUGCGGGUUGUCACCGCAUUGAAGGAAUAGAAAACUUCAUCCCAUACACCUGACCCAAGGGUCAGUUGAUAAACCAGGUAAAUUCUCCAACUGAAUACUUCAUUUCAAAGCACCGAGAUGGUUGCUUCAUAUAAAACUGGGAAUCCUGUGCGUUCAUUUGUUCGUGUGCCAGGAAGUGGGACAGACAAGAAGGCAAAGUCUCUAUGCUGGGACCUUUCACGCUCCUCAACAGUUGCUGCAGCUGUCCAAGUUGAACCAACACUUCCAUCAGCAAUCACAAUAACAACAUUGAUAAAGUCAUCAGAAUCCACCAAGGAAGAUGGCAAAACUGGUUAUGAGGACGAAGUGACUGUUGCUCAGCCUGCCAGUCAAACUGAGGAAUUAAGGCAUAAUCAAUCGGAAGAUGAUUCAAGACCAGCAGAUGUUGCCAAGGCAGCUGGCAAUGAAAUUCAAGGAGCUGUGGCACAGACGACAACCCCCACUGCAGUAUCAUCGCAGUCAGAUGACAAUUCAGAUGUUAAGUCUGGAGGGAGAAAUGAUAGAUCAGAGGUAAACACACGCAAAAGGCCAUACACAGUGGAGCCUGAAGAAGGAGACCAAAAUGAAUCGAGUAGCAGUGAGCCUCGAGCAAAGUUUGCCUGUGUGUGUGGAAAAACAAGAGAAAGCAGUUCCGUGGACGAUCCUACCACGGUUAUGUCGCCAAAAAUCCAAGAAACAAAGGUAAAAGAGUCUGUUUCAGCGGAGGUAUCCAAGCUAGCACAAGAGCUUGAGCAAGUGAGACAACAAAAUCAAGAGCUCCAGAAGCGAUUGAAACUAUUUCAUGAGCUGUUCAACGACAAAAAGCGAUUGGCUCUGGUGGUAAAACAUUUGGGUGUAUCAGUCAACUAAAAAUGAAUAAACAUGUUGUUAUUAAACAUGUUAUGCUACCUUUCUAAUAGAAACUUAAGAGCAGGACACAUGGUUUCACAUUAAUGAUUUAUGAAUCUUCUAGUGACAUUUGUAACAAUGAUUAAAAUUAAAUUUAUGAUUUUUUUUUUUUUACUUUUGGAGUUGUACAGUGUGUCUCAGGUUGUGCACCUUAGCUUUAUUAGUUCCUUUUUAUGCUUUUCCGUGUGAAGGAAUGGUAGCAUAUCUAUUGAGAUAUACAGCACUAACUCCUGAGUAAGAAAUUGAGAGGUGUGAGGUCUGGGGACCUUGGUGGCCAUUUGAUUAAUCCUUGUUGCUCAAUUUUCAUUAAAUUGUUAAAAUUUCCUCACCCAAAUAAGAACAUUAAUUUUCUUAUGGGAUGUGGACAAAUAGAAACCCAGUAGAAAAGGUUCCUUGUGGGUCACAUUGGCUUCAUCAGUCCACACCCUUGGAUAAUGAACUAAACUUGGGUACUGUGAGGAAUUGUGCAUUUUUUCUUGCCAUGUCAGGGGACACUGAAGAUGAGGCAUUGUUUACACAGCAUUAAUUGGUGUAAAGUUGAUUUUAGUAAAACCAGUACCGGUACUGUACAGUACUUGUGAUGAUCACCAAUUACAGUAUCAUAAAAAUCGUGAGUUAAUAAUAAAGACUCUGUAUCUAAUUAUUGGUUAGUGUAUUGAGAUAUACUCUACUGUAAGAAAAAUACAAGUUGUUUUCCUUCAAGCACUAUGGGUAUUAAAUUCAUGUAACUAUUAAGAUACUGUACCAGGAUGGUCGCCCGAUGCAGCAAUGUAUAAAAUGUUAAGCAUUCUCAGUGAUCCAUGGAGAAGCCAUUGUUAACCUAUUUCCUUUCCUAUUUUUGUUGAAUAGCCUUGGUAUUCUGUAGUCCUAAACAAUAAACAAAGCCAUACUGUAUUGAUGAUAUCCAUUUAAUGUUUUCCCAAGUAAAAUCAUAAACUUAGAUUGAGAAUUUUGCCCCCUUAUACCGAAUUAUUAUAAUUUUAUUCAAGUGUUUAGGUUUCUUCCUCCUUCUAGUCGUUCAUAUAAGUUUGAGUACAAAGAAAGACAAAAGUCGUGUCAUGAAAUUUGGUGAAAACAUGUGCCAAAGGGCUAAACUUUUGGUUUGCUCUGCCUUGUGGUAGGGGGCUCUCAUAAUGUUUCACGAGUUAUAUUUAAUCUUCGGAUAAAACCGCGACACAACUUUUGUCUUUGAUUGUACAGGUACACUUAUAUUUCCGACAUUUAUUAUGGUAUGAAGGCAAACUUCCAUUUAUUGUAUCACUUCAUUAACUAAUAAGAGAUUACUUGGUGAUUAAAUGGAUCAGAAUCCAAAAACAGAACAUAGGAAUAUUAUACAUGGUGCCUCAUAGGUUACUUGCCUUAUGAAAAUAACUGUUCCUCUUUUAUUCAGGUGAGGCAAUCAUAAAUCAACAAUGAUGCCAUAUUUAUGUUGACACUAAAGGGAAGUCGCCUUGAUAUUCAUGUAUGGAAUGUUAACGGACUCUUUCCUCUCGUUAAUUUUUGUCGUCCUUGUUGAUAUAAUGGGAUCUUCUCCCCUGAAAAAUUAAUAAAAGGAAAUGUGACCCGUGAGACUCCUUAUAUUGUACAGUACUGUAAUAUUUAUAUUUUUUUUUCGAAACAUUUUGCUUGCUCAGCGUUCUUUUCUUUAAGGCAUUGGUGCUACCCAAAUACUUAGAAUGAAAAAGAUUUGAUUAUAUUUUGACAAAUUAAAAAGUUUUGAAAAUGGGCUUCAUGAAGUUGAUGGAAACCUUUAUGAUAAUAGGAAGUAACAUAGGAAUCAGUAUCUUUACAGUUGGCUUUUUAGUUAGAUAAAGAUGUUAAAAGAUAGGAUGGCCUCAAGCUAAAUAUCCCAGUGCUUAAAUGUUUGGCUGAUUUUGUAUUACAUUACUUUCUUUUAGCAAGGAACUAUUUUUUUGUGUCAUAUAUGUCACCGAUGAUUCCAUGUGGCGAGGAGUCGGUUAUCCAGUGUGGCGAGGUGCCAGUGUUCUAUAAUGAUUUGUCAUUAAAUCCAUGUGGCUAGGUGCCAGUUAUCCAGUGUGGCGAGGUGCCAGUUAUCCAAUGUGGCGAGGUGCCAGUUAUCCAGUGUGGCGAGGUGCCAGCGUUCUAUAAUGAUUUGUGUCAUUAAAUCCAUGUGGCUAGGUGCCAGUUACCCAGUAUGGCGAGGUGCCAGUUAUCCAGUGUGGCGAGGUGCCAGUGUUCUAUUAUGAUUUGUCAUUAAAUCCAUGUGGCGAGUGCCAGUGUUCUAUAUUGAUUUGUCAUUAAAUCCAUGUGGCUAGGUGCCAGUUAUCCAGUGUGGCGAGGUGCCAGUUAUCCAGUGUGGCGAGGUGCCAGUUAUCCAUUGUGGCGAGGUGCCAGUGUUCUAUUAUGAUUUGUGUCAUUAAAUCCAUGUGGCGAGGUGCCAGUUAUCCAGUGUGGCGAGGUGCCAGUUUUUUCUGUGAAUGUUGUGGGUGCAUCACCCAGGGCAUUAUUAUACACUUGUUCAUUACAUCUAUUCUGUAUUAGGUUUUGUAAUUUAUUAUGGAAAAGAAUAUACCACAAAUAUUUAUGAACUGAUAAUACUAUUAACUUAUCAUAACUGCAAAAAUUUAUAUUGAUAUUUGGUUAAGACAGAAGUUUUAUUUUGUUAUGUUUUGUGGUGUAUUUAAUUUUUGCUUUGUUAGUUAUUAUAAGUUGAAGGAGUCUGCCUGUGGUCCAGUCAGUUCCCUCAUCCAUCGAAUUUACCGUGGCCGAAGGACAUUUGGCCGACGGACAGUUGAUUUAUUUUUUAUUUUUCUUUCUUCUUUGCAAUGUAUUUUUUGCACAUUUACUAAAGGAUAAAAGAUAUUUAUUGUAAUGUAAAUGCUUCUUUGCAAUGUAUUUGCUUUAUAAAACAAAGGAUAAAAAGAUGACAAUUUCAAUGUGAUACAUUUGCAUGAUAUAGUUUUUUUUUAUGUUACUUUUAAGACCAUGGAAUUCAUACCAACGACAAGAGGAGGAAGAUGGCAUUUGCUUGAAGGCUACGCCUACAUCGUUGAUAAACGGAAAGACAAUGUAAUAUAUUGGCGAUGUGAAUGCAAAGGAAGUUGUUGGGGACGAUUGAAAACAGAAGACGACGUUAUUCAAGGAGAAGCAAGUAAUCACUCACGUCCUCCUGAUGCUGGACGUAACCUGUCCUUGAAAACAGUAAAGAAAAUUAAAGAAAGAGCCUGACAGUUGGGAGGAAGUGACAUCGACUAUUAUACAAAACUGCACCAGUGAGUACCCACUUGAUGCUGCAGGUGCUCUUCCUAUGAAAGAAACUCUGGCAAGAAUGGUGCACAGACAACGCAUGGCACCAGACGGGGACUUAUUAACUGACGACUUACGGAAAUCAAUUAGAGGAGAAGACUUUGUCAUCCAUUAAAGUGACAACCUGCUAAUUCUGUCAACACCUCGAAACUUACAGCUUCUUGCUUUCAAAGACCACUGGUCAACAACUUCCUUUGCGUUCACAUCGCCAAUAUAUUACAUUGUCUUUCCGUUUAUCAACGAUGUAGGCGUAGCCGUCAAGCAAAAGCCAUCUUCCUCCUCUUGUCGUUGGUAUGAAUUCCAUGGUCUUAAAAGUAACAUAAAAAAAAACUAUAUCAUGCAAAUGUAUCACAUUGAAAUUGUCAUCUUUUUAUCCUUUGUUUUAUAAAGCAAAUACAUUGCAAAGAAGCAUUUACAUUACAAUAAAUAUCUUUUAUCCUUUAGUAAAUGUGCAAAAAAAAAAUUGCAAAGAAGAAAGAAAAAUAAAAAAUAAAUAAAAAAUGCCAUAUGUCCAUUCAGCCAAAUGUCCGUUCGGCCAGAUGUCUGUUUGGUCAAAUGUCCGUCGGUGAAAUGUCCGUCGGCCAUCUGUCCGGGAGCCAAAUUUACACUUUAUUCGUUAAACUGCAGUUGAUAUUGUUCUCAAGUCGUAGGUGGCACUGACGAUGUUUGCCUUUUAUCAUAACUUGAUCCUGGCACUUAUUGAAUGUUGUACAGGUAACCUGCACUUUGAUACACAAUACUUUAAAACCUGUUGUACUUUCAGGGCUUCUCUUAUGUAAUGUACAUGACUUUGGUUGUGAACAUCCUCAGUGUCAUUGACUUAAUUUGUAAGGAAAAAAUUAGUACUUGACUAGCAAAUGCCUUUUCUUCCAGCUGCUGCUUUCUUAUCUAGAACAAGAUGUUCACAGUAAAGCAUGAGGGUAAAAUUAGUUAUAAAAUUUAAUAAAAAAAAUGUUUACUGAAAAUAGUAUUUAAGCUUUUUCAGCAGUAUUAAAUAUCUUGGUAGCUGCUGUUCUAAGGAUAUAAUGAUAAUUGUAGUUGAAUGAAUGUAAUUAAUAUAUUGUAUACUGUACACCUUUGUAUGUUUUGUGCAUUAUAUACUUACUCCUCCAGCUAUUUAUGUAUGAUACAAGUGCCAGUCAUGUACAUUUUGGUGAAUAUAUCACUAAGUAAGUACAGCAGUUCUCUACUAGGUUGGAGUUUCCUUAAGCUGCGGUCACACGAGAGUUUCUCCCGGAAUAAAUCCACCAUAGGGAAAAUGUCAGAGUAAUGAAAAAUAAUAAAACUGUAAUAAGGGUAAAUCACGACAGGAAUUUCAUUUGACUCUGGGAGUACAGUACAGGGUACUUGCAUCACUUAUGUAUACAAAUAUUGCCUGGACGCUAGUCAUUUUAUAUAUAUAUGCAAGUAAAUCACUGUGGGUGCACGUGAUCCAGGUACAUAAUGAUAACCACAAGGAAAGAAGAAAACACGAAGUUCCCAAGCGCUUUCGUGCAAUUCACAUCUUGUUUAGCAGGACCACACAUCUCACUAAAGCGGUUAAUGCUGCCAUCCUGCUCUCCAACUGAGCUCAAACAUGCUGCAUGAGCUGGGCGCCUGGCUGAUGGUUCCUUUUGCCAGUGUGCGGAUCACACCAUUAACUUAUUGCCUGUGGAUAAACUGCUAUCAUGGAUAUCUUGCACGGAACACUAGUGUGACCGUUAAGCUACAGUCAUACUAGAGUUUUAAGAGUUUUCUGUGCAAUAAAUCCAUAAGUUAAUGGUGUGAUCCGCACACUGGCCAAAGGAACCAUCAGCCAGGCGCCCAGCUCAAGCAGCAUGUUUGAGCCCAGUUGGAGAGCAGGAUGGCAGCAUUAACGCUUUAGUGAGAUGUGUCGUCCUGUUAAACAAGACCAAAAUUGAAUAAAUAAAUAAAAUUGUAGCGUCCAGGCGAUGUUUAUAUUCAAAAGUGAAACAAGUACAGUACUGAUGAGUUGAAUGAAAUUCACGUCAUGAUGUAUUGUUCAUUUACCAUGACAUUUUUGCUCGUGUUUUGUUAUUGAUCUAAUACACUUUUUAUAUUUUUGUAUGUUUUGGCGUUAAAAAGAAAAAAAUAAUGUGGUGUAAAUUUAAUAAAUACAAUAUUCUCUACAACAAAUGUCAACCCACAGUACUGACGCUCAGUAUCGUCCCACUUUUGACAACAAAUAAGUUGUCUCUGAAAAAUCAACACUACGGUGGAUUUAUUCCGGGAGAAACUCGUGUGACCGCAGCUUUAUUAGCACUUUAUUUUAUGAUUUUUUAAUUUUGCCUCUGCUAAAUCAAUACAAAACCAAGUAUUGUACUGUAGUAUCAGAAAUAAUUACCCUAAGUUUAAACUACUGUAUAAGCCAAACUUAUUUGUUGAAAACUGUUGAAUGAGGUCAAGAAAGUUACAUUGUAUAUAUAUAACUAGACUUUCGUUUGAUCUCACAAAGUUGUGCACGUUUUGGUAUUGGUAAAACACGAUACCUUGAGACGUAUUUAUAUAGACUAUAGCACUUAAGAUUUUCUGGUUUACAAUGUUAAUACUUAAGUAUUGAGGUUAUGGUUUACAAUAUUAAUGCUUCCAUAAAGGAAUAUAUUAUGUAAAGGAUUGUUCUGUAGUUAUUAUUGCAAACUAAUACAGGUCCCUCAGAGUACGGUAAUGGAAACCUGUUGAGAUGAUGUCUGUAACAAGUACGGCAGACUGUACUGGACAAAAAUUUUUCUGUAAUCCCAUUAAGACAAAAAUAUUAGAAACUAGAAUUUGUGGAAAAAGUGCCACUACAUUCAUGUCAAUAUACUGUAGUAUAUUUGUUUUGUAUAUACAUAUACUGUAUAUUAAAUAAAAAUUUCACUAGUA